GACGAAGGGGGCUAGCGUUGUUCGGAAUUACUGGGCGUAAAGCGCGUGUAGGCGGUUGCCAAAGUCGGGGGUGAAAGCCUUGAGCUCAACUCAAGAAUUGCACUCGAUACUUGGUGACUAGAGGACCGGAGAGGAUAGUGGAAUUCCCAGUGUAGUGGUGAAAUACGUAGAGAUUGGGAAGAACACCAGUGGCGAAGGCGGCUAUCUGGACGGUUUCUGACGCUAAGACGCGAAAGCGUGGGGAGCAAACAGG
rnacentral:rRNA from 1 species